UUAACGGAAGUUUGAAAUUACGCGCCACAAAAGUCAUGGAUAAAAAAAAAUAUUCCACCAUAACAUUGGAGUUGUGUAUGAAUUGUUAUUAGGCGACAGGAUUGUUGAACGCUUUAUAACACAAUUUGACUUUUUGGAAGUAAAAUGUCUUUACUCAAACCAUUUAGUAAACUUCCUGGACUAAACACGGCCAACAUACUGCUGGUGGAGAACGAAGAGCAAUUUCAGCAGAAGUUAGCUGACACUGUUGUUCUUCAAGAGAAGACUGUCAACGUUAAUGUAAGGUUGGCCAGAAGCCUCCCACUCCCCAUGGAAAAUGAGGAGUCUCGGCCGCGGAUAGAUCUGGUGGUUUUCAUCAUUCACCUAACCUCAGAGCUCAGCUUCCAGUCAGCAGAGACCUCCCUCAAGUAUUUAGACCCAGGUUACUUCCAGGGCAAAGUCUGCUUCCUGGUUACCAGUGUUAGUCAUGUCUCAUCGCUGCAACUCCGGUACGGAGUCCUCCGAAACGCAACCCAGCCAAGUCAUACUGCUUCUUCACACAAAGCCCGCUUAACCCGAAAGCCAGCUGCACCAAUGUGUCUGAGGAAACGAAGGUUACGUAUGUAACCACGGUUAUGUGAGCAGUAUGGAUCACUCCCAAUAUAUUGGUAUCACUCCACGGCGGAGGGAUACAUCCGAGGUACGCCAGUUGAGGACAAGUUCUCAUUCACAACUGCGACCUGGCCAAGAUAAAGCAAAGCAGUGCAACAAAACCAACACAGAGUUACACAUGGAAUAAACAAGCGUACAGUCAAUAACACAAUAGAAAAAUCUGUAUACAGUGUGUGUAAAUGAAGUAAGGAGGUAAGGCAAUAAAUAGACCAAUAGUGGUGAAGUAAUUACAAUGUAUCAAUUUACACUGGAGUGAGAUAUGUUCAAGUAGAAAUACUGGUGUGCAAAAGAGCAGAAAAACAAAUAUGGGUAUGAGUUAGAUAGUUGGAUGGGCUAUUUACCCAUGGGUUGUGUACAGCUGCAGGGAUUGGUAAGCUGCUCUGACAGCUGACGCUUAAAGUUAGUGAGGGAGAUAUAAGUCUCCAACUUCAGUGAUUUUUUGCAAUUUGAUCCAGUCAUUGGCAGCAGAGAACUGGAAGGAAAGGGGGCCAAAAGAGGUGUUGGCUUUGGGGAUGCUGGAGCGCGUGCUACAGGUGGGUGUUUCUAUGGUGACUAGUGAGCUGAGAUAAGUCGGAGCUUUACCUAGCAAAGACUUAUAGAUGACCUGGAGUCAGUGGGUUUGGCGACGAACAUGUAGCAAGGACCAGCCAACGAGAGCAUACAGGUCGCAGUGGUGGGUAGUAUAUGAGGCUUUGGUGAUAAAAUGGAUGGCACUGUGAUAGACUACAUCCAAUUUGCUGAGUAGAGUUUUGGGGGCUAUUUUGUAAAUGACAUCGCCGAAGUCAAGGAUUGGUAGGAUAGUCAGUUUUACGAGGGUAUGUUUGGCAGCAUGAGUGAAGGAUGCUUUGUUGCGAAAUAGGAAGUCGAUUCUAGAUGUUUAAUGUCUGGAAGGAGAGUUUACAGUCUAACCAGACACCUAGGUAUUUGUAGUUGUCUUAAGUCAGAGCCGUCCAGAGUAGUGAUGCUAGUCGGGCGGGCGGGUGCGGGCAGCGAUCGAUUGAAGAGCAUGCGUUUCGUUUUACUAGCUGUUAAGAGCAGUUGGAGGCCACAGAAGGAGUGUUGUAUGGUGUUGGAGGUUUGUUAACACAGUGUCUAAAGAAGGGCCAUAUGUAUACAGAAUGAUGUCGUCUGUGUGGAGGUGGAUCAAAUUAUCACCAAAAUUAUCACGCAAGAGCAACAUUAUUGAUAUGAACAGAGAAAAGAGUCCGCCCGAGAAUUGAACCCUGUGGCACCCCCAUUGACUGCCAGAGGUUCGGACAACAGGCCCUCCGAUUUGACACACUAAAAUCUCUGAGAUGUAGUUGGCGAUCCAGACGAGGCAGUCAUUAGAGAAACCAAGGCCGUUGAGUCUGCCAAUAAGAAUACGGUGAUUGACAGAGUCGAAAGCCUUGGCCAGGUCGAUAAAGACUGCUGCACAGUCAGUACUGUCUUUUAUCGAUGGCAGUUAUGAUAUUGUUUAGUACCUUGAGCGUGGCUGAGGUACACCAGUGACCAGCUCGGAAACCAGAUUGCAUAGCUUAGAAGGUAUGGUGGGAUUCGAAAUGGUCGGUGAUCUGUUUGUUCACUUGGCUUUCGAAGACUUAAGAAAGGCAGGGCAGGAUGGCUAUAGGUCUGUAACAGUUUGGGUCUAGUGUCUCCCCUUUUGAAGAGGGGGAUGACCGCUGCCGCCUUCCAAUCUUUGGGAAUCUCAGGUGAUGCAGAAGAGAAGUUGAACAGACUAGUAAUAGGGGUUGCAACAAUUGCGGCAGAUUAAUUUUAGGAAGAGAGGGUCCAGAUUGUUUAGCCCAGCUGAUUUGUAGGAAUCCAGAUUUUGCAACUCUUUCAGAACACCAGCUGUCUGCAUUUGGGUGAAGGAGAAGCUGGGGGCUUGGGCCAAUUGCUGCAGGGGUGCAGAGCUGUUGGCCGGUGUUGGGGUAGCCAGAUGGAAUGCAUGGGCAGCCGUAGAGAGAUGCUUAUUGAAAUUCUCGAUUAUCGUGGAUUUUUCAGUGGUGACAGUGUUUCCUAGUCUCAGUGCAGUGGGCAGCUGAGAGGAGGCACUCUUAUUCUCCAUGGACUUUAGUGUCUCGAGUAGAGGUCGACCGACUAUGAUUUUUCAACGCCGAUACCGAUUAUUGGAGGACAAGAAAAGCCGAUACCGAUUAAUCGGACGCUUUUAAUUUUUUUGUUGUUGUUAUAAUGACAAUUACAACAAUACUGAAUGAACACUUAUUUUAACUUAAUAUAAUACAUCAAUAAAAUCAAUUUAGCCUGAAAUAAAUAAUGUAACAUGUUCAAUUUGGUUUAAAUAAUGCAAAAACAACGUGUUGGAGAAGAAAGUAAAAGUGCAAUAUGUGCUAUGGAAGAAAGCUAACGUUUAAGUUCCUUGCUCAGAACAUGAGAACACAUGAAAGCUGGUGGUUCAUUUUAACAUGAGUCUUCAAUAUUCCCAGGUAAGAAGUUUUAGGUUGUAGUUAUUAUAGGAAUUUUUCUCUCUAUACCAUUUGUAUUUCAUAUACCUUUGACUAUUGGAUGUUCUUAUAGGCACUUUAGUAUUGCCAGUGUAACAGUAUAGCUUCUGUACCUUUCUUCGCUCCUACCUGGACUCGAACCAGGAACACAACGACAACAGCCACCCUCGAAGCAGCGUUACCCAUGCAGGGCAAGGGGAACAACUACUCCAAGUCUCAGAGCGAGUGACGUUUGAAACAGUAUAGCGCGUACCCCGAUAACUAGCUAGCCAUUUCACAUCACAUCGUUACACCAGCCUAAUCUUGGGAGUUGAUAGGCUUGAAGUCAUAAACAGCAGAGUUGCUGGCAAAACGCAUGAAAGUUAGUCUGCUCUAUCAAAUCAUAAACUUAAUUAUAACAUAAUAACACACAUAAAUGUGGGCCUUUAGGUCAUUAAUAUGGUCGAAUCCGGAAACUAUCAUCUCGAAAACAAGACGGUUAUUCUUUCAGUGAAAUAUGGAACCGUUCCGUAUUUUAUCUAAUGGGUGGCAUCCAUCAGUCUAAAUAUUCCUGUUACAUUGCACAACCUUCAAUGUUAUGUCAUAAUUACGUAAAAUUCUGGCAAAUUAGUUUGCAAUGAGCCAGGUGGCCCAAACUGUAGCAUAUACCUUGGCUCUGCGUGCAAUGAACGCAAGAGAAGUGACACAAUUUCACCUGGUUAAUAUUGCCUGCUAAACUGGAUUUCUUUUAGCUAAAUAUGCAGGUUUACAAAUAUAUACUUAUGUGUAUUGACUUUAAGAAAUGCAUUGGUGUUUAUGGUUAGGUACACGUUGGAGCAACGACAGUCCUUUUUCGCGAAUGCGCACUGCAUCGGUUAUAUGCAACGCAGGACACGCUAGAUAAACUAGUAAUAUCAUCAACCAUGUGUAGUUAUAACUAGUGAUUAUGAUUGAUUAAGUUUAAUGCUAGCUAGCAACUUACCGUGGCUUCUUAACAGGCGGGCUCCUCGUGAGGCAGGUGGUCAGAGCGUUGGACUAGUUAACCGUAAGGUUGCAAGAUUGAAUCCCUGAGCUGACAAGGUAAAAAUCUGUCGUUCUGCCCCUAAACAAGGCAGUUAACCCACCGUUACUAGGCUGUCAUUGAAAAUAAGAAUGUGUUCUUAACUGACCUGCCUAAUUAAAUAAAGAUUAAAUAAUGGCGGAAAAAAACACAAAAAAACAUCAGCAAAAUCGGCAUCCAAAAUUACCGAUUUCCGAUUGUUGUGAAAACUUGAAAUCGGCCAUUCCGAUUGAUCAGUCGACCUCUAGUCUCUAGCACCGUAGAGGAUUGGAGUGAUCCAUAUAGCUCACAUAAUCGUGGUUACAUAUGUAACCUUCGUUAUGUUUCGCUAUAUUGGAUCACUCCAAUAUAUUGGUAUUCCCGUAUCAGAUUAGUCGGUGCUAGAGGGACCUGGCCAGCCAGCGGCGAAGUCCUAGUGCGGGACCAAGACGCAGGGACCGUCAGUGUGGAAGGGGGGUCCCGACACAGUCCCGGAAGGGGAGGUGACGCCCAGGACCGUUGAAUCCACUGCAGAGGGAGAUGCCACAUUUACCUGAUAGUACCUAGCAAAGGUGCGAGAGGAAGCCCAGCUGGCCGCAGCACAGUUCUCAGUGAGGGGCACUCCUCUCAGUAGAGCCCAGGAUGCAGCCACACCUCGUGUUGAAUGUGCCACCACAGAUCCCAGCACUGGCAUGCCAGCCAGGCUGCAUGCUGUCGUAAUCGUGUCCAUGAUCCAGUGAGAGAGCUUCUGCUUUGAUAGCCCAGCCCCCAGGACUCUCUCACCAUAACAGACAAAGAGCUGGUCUGUUGUUCUCACUGACCGUGUCCACUCCACAUAGGCAGCCAGUGCCCUCACUGGGCACAGCAUGCCGGAGGGAGGGCCAGACUCCCCCGCCACUGCCGGGAGGUCAUAAGCAGACAGGAUAAAAGGGAUGUUCACAUGCCUGUCUGACAAAACCUUAGGGAGGAAUGAAGAGUUGGGGCAGAGAGAUAUACUCCUCCCCCCAGUGUCCAUCCUUUAGCCCUCAGAACUUACCGAAAGAGCAUGGAGCUCACCCACCCUCUUUAUGGUAGUAAUUGCUACCAAGAAAGCCACCUUAAUAGAGAGGUGUUUCAGGGAGGCAGACUCGAACGGUUCGAAAGGUGGCUUUACCAAAGCUGUCAAGACUACAUUGAGAUCCCAGUUCACCAGUGAGGGGGUCCUAACUGGACGCAGGUGACGAACCCCCUUCAAAAACCUGGAGACCAAGGGAUGGCGUCCCACUGGCCUGUCCAUCCACCUCACAAUGCAGGCAGAUAUUGCGGCCAAAUACCCUCUCAGUGUUGAGGCUGCCAAGCCCUCAUCCAAGCGAGACUGCAGGUAUUGGAGGACAUACUGCACCCCACAUGACUCGGGCACAACCUCAAUACCAGUGCACCAAGAGCAGAACAACCGCCGGCACAACUGGUAUGCCGUGGUUGUAGCCGGCGCCCUUGUGCUCUGCAUGGUGUUCAUUACACACUCCUGUAGUCCUAACAUGGACCAAUGGUGCUGUUCAGUGGCGAAUCCCACAGACUGAGGCGGUGCGGCAUCGGAUGCCACAGCGUUCCCCGGCCUGAGACGGCAGGUCUGGUCUCAUGGGAAGUUUCCAAGGUGUCCCAGACAACAGGGACAGAAGAAGGCUGGGCCAGUAUGGGACCACCAGAAGCAGAUGAUGCUCUUCCAUCCUGGUCCUGUCCAGCUCAGCCUGGAUCAGGGUAAAAGGGGGGAAUGGGGAAAGCUCCAGCCCUGGCCAAUCGAGAGCCAGAGCAUCCAAGCCUAGAGGCCCUGGUGGCUCCAACAUGGAGUACCACAGGGGGCAGUGUGCAUUGUCCAGGGAGGCAAACAGGUCCCCCUGCACCCUCCUGAACUUGUCCCACAGGUGCUGCACCACCUGGGGAUGUAGGCUCCAGACCCAAGGUGGUGGGCCCUCCCUCGAGAGCAUAACCGCUGUCACACUCAGGAUGUCUGAUACAUGCGCUGCGAGUAGAGACACUAGACGUACCUGAGCCCAGAGGAGCUCCUGUGCUAUAAGAUUGAGGCGGUGUGACCUCAGUCCACCCUGAUGGUUGAUGUAAGCCACCGCUGUGCUGUUGUCUGUUCUCACCAGGAUAUGUCUUCCUUUCAGAUGUGUAAGGAAGGACCGCAGGGCCAGCAGUACAGCUCAGCUUUCUAGUUUAUUGAUGAGCCUGCUGCUCCAAGGGGGUAGCCAACAGCCGCUGGCCAAUCUGCCCUUGGUC